rnacentral:ncRNA from 1 species
GAUCCGUAACUUCGGGAAAAGGAUUGGCUCUGAGGGCUGGGCCUAGGGGUCUGCAGCUGUGAAGCUCGGGACUGUGGUGGUCUACCCAACUGGAAACGGCUGGGCGGACUGCUGCGUGUCCUGGGUGGACGGCUGUAGAAGCUUCGCGGCGUUCCCUAGGCGACGAACAGCCAACUCAGAACUGGUAC